UUCUGCGUAUCACUCUUGGGAUGGGACCUGCGGGUGCAUUAGCUAGUUGGUAGGGUAACGGCCUACCAAGGCGAUGAUGCAUAGCCGAGUUGAGAGACUGAUCGGCCACAUUGGGACUGAGACACGGCCCAAACUCCUACGGGAGGCAGCAGUAGGGAAUCUUCCACAAUGGACGCAAGUCUGAUGGAGCAACGCCGCGUGAGUGAAGAAGGUUUCGGCUCGUAAAGCUCUGUUGUUGGUGAAGAAGGACAGGGGUAGUAACUGACCUUUGUUUGACGGUAAUCAAUUAGAAAGUCACGGCUAACUACGUGCCAGCAGCCGCGGUAAU
rnacentral:rRNA from 1 species